GGGACCUUGACUGCAAUUUUCUUGUAAAGAUUUUCUAUAAUCUUCUUCCCCAAAAGCCCUCUACAAAAUUUUAUAAACCUACGACUACACUCAAGAAGCGGUACCGUUGGACCUGCCAAAAUCCUGUGCAAUCUUUGUGGAAAUUGAAAUAUGGGAUUCGGAAACAGAGGAGUAAUUGGUGAUAAAUGGUCAUCGAGGAUACUUUGGCUCGCUGCUAUUGGAAGUGCAAUUGGGUUUUAUAUGGUGGCUGUAGAAAGACAAACGCAGAACAGAGAAAAAAUGAUGGCUGAAUCAAUGAGGACCGCAGGGUCAAGUGCAGAUGAUGGUGAAUAAAUCUGAAUGCAGACUUAACUAAAUGUAUUCAAUUUCCUAACCGUAUUGACUGUUUAAUGCUUCCUAUAUCAGUCGUGGAUGUUUUUAUUAGCUUUAUUUCUUCUAUGAUGAUAUAUGUACGUGGAUUUGGUCUAUUUUCCAGUUUCUUCUCACCAUGCAAUAUUCGUGAGUAUGCAAGUCCCACAGGAAUGUGACAGUCUAAAGUGCAUUUCCCGCAAACUCUUCUGGAAUUAUGAUUUACUCUUCUUAACCGACAAUGUUUUGUUUUCCUUAAAGCAUGCAUUUGUAAAAAAAGUAAUGGCUUCGGCAAAUUUGUGCAGUUGAAAUUCAUCAUUCUUGUAUGUUUUUUGUGUUUUCUCCUCAUAAUGUCUUGAUGGACUAAAAAUGCCAAGAAACCAUAUCACGUACCCUCCUCCCAGUUGGAAUUUUUCAAUAUCACAUCCAGUUCUGGUGGCUAUGUUGAAAGUAUUCAGAGGGACUCUGGGAGAGAACUUGGUUUUUAUGACGUGGGCCUGGAAAGUUUUUGCUGUGAAGAUUGUGGUCUCGGUUUAGGGCCAGGAAAAUUGCUUUAGGCCGUGGAACAAUUCCCUGUUUUUUCAAAUGAGAUAUACAGUACCUGAAUGAUACCUAUAAAAUCUUUCAAUUUAAUUAAUUACAUUAGAAACCUUCACGUUUUCUUUUUGCAUUCAAGAAGAAGCUCAGUGAGCAGUCGUCACCUUCUUUUUAGUGUACUACCUUAAGAUGUUACCUUCUUGUUCAGGCUUCCUUGAUUGCUAUGCUACCAAUUCUUCAUGCAAGUUUCAUAAUCUUGGAUUUCGGAUUUGAAACGUGGAAUUUUUCAUAAUCUGGCUACUAUGAGUAGUUGUCAGAAAUUUUGCAACCUCUAUAUCAAGUUUCAAUAGUAGGUAGUGAAAGGUAGUAAUCAAAAUUUCCUGAACAUGAUAUUGACCCGGAUUUGGAUAGUUGAUGGGAAAUUGAUAAGUGGGCUUCGAAUUCAUGAGAUGACUCGGAGCCUGAUUCAAUAUGGGGCUGCUGUAAUUGCCCAGAUGGCAUUUGGAUCGAAACUUGGAGGCGGGCCAUGAAAAUGAUGUUAAGUCCUUGUUUGAUUUUUAUUUUUUGAUAAGUGAUUUUUAGAGAAUGCUCGACUAAAAUGUAGGAAAAGAAUGCGUGAAAUUAUUUUGUGGAAUGAACAAAAUAAAUUUGAAGAAAAGUGAAUUGGAAUCAGGCCUUGUAGAAUUUUAGGAUCAACAGUGAAAAGAACAUAAAAUGAACGUGGACAUGCUACAUAACAUUCGCAUAGUUCCGUGCAAGGUGAAAGUGCAACAAAUAUCAAUUCAUAGAUAGAGAAAAUGUAAAAAAAGUCUCAAUUUAAAAAAUAUGUAAAUAAGUUGUACUUUCUCCUACUUAUACUUUAGUUCUAAAAUUUUAUGGAAGGCCUUAGUUAUAAAAAAA